AGGAUUCUAUGGGCCUUGCUGGGCUCUUGCCUUCAAAAACCCAGGCCUCCUAAUUCUCCCCAGAAACAGCUGCAUUGGAGACCCCAAGUCUCGGGAGCACACCCCUGCUUCCUGCCCUGUGACUGGUCAGUCUUUAACCUGUGCCUUGGCGGGCGCUGGCUUUGCGGUGCUUCCUCUGCAGGGACUGACCUCGGACACCCAGCUUGUCAUUGCCCCGGGGGCGUCCUGGCUUUGGUUCUGUUAACACCUCAGUGCUGAGAAGGCACCUCAGCCCUGGCUUUCUCUCCCUGUCCCGUUCUCUCUCUUGGGCCCCCUGCCUCGAGGCCCAGAUUUUAUAUCUUUGCUCCCAUAAACCUCUGGUCCCUGAAGCUUUCCUCUCAACCUCAGCGGGUCCCCACCUCUCCGUCAAGUUCAGUCUUGGGAAAAUGCCAGGCAUGAUGGCUCGCACCUGUGGUUUCAGCUGUUCCGGAGGCCAAGGCAGGAUGAUAACUUGAGCCCAGGAGGUCAAGGGGUCAAGGCUGUAGUGAGCCAUGAUCCUGCCACUGCACUCCAACCUGGGGGAUAGAGUGAAAUCCCGUCUCUGAAAAAAUAAAUAAAUACAUACAUAAAAAACAUUUGCUGUCUCAUUUGAAGGUAAAUGGCAGGCAUGUCAACAGACCACUUACAGACCUUAGCAGCGUCUGCUAAGAAUAAAAGCUUUCUCCAAAAUCCCA
rnacentral:lncRNA from 1 species